rnacentral:ncRNA from 1 species
UAUUAUAUGUCAUAUUUUAUAUAAUAUGUUAUAUGUUAUAUGAAUAUGUUAUAUAAUACAUAGUUUUUUUUCAUGAUAUCAACAUGUGCCCUUGGUGCAGAUCUUGGUGGUAGUAGCAAAUAUUCAAAUGAGAACUUUGAAGAGUGAAAUGGGGAAAUGUUCCAUGUGAACAUCACUUGGACAUGGUUGGUUAGUUGAUCCUAAGAGAUGGGGAAUCAUUGUAUCAAGGGUGCACUCUUCAUGAACAUCGAAAGAGAAUUGGGUUAAUAUUCCCGAACCGGGACAUGGUGGUGGACAACAAUGUUAGGAAAUCUGGAGAUGUCAUCGGGGGCCUAGGAAGAGUUAUCUUUUCUUUUUAACGACUUUCCCACCCUGAAAUUGGUUCAACCAGAGAUAGGGUCCAACAUCUGGAAGAGAACCACACGUCUUGUGGUGUUUUGUGCCCCCUUGAUGGCCAUUAAAAAUAUGGAGAACCAAGUACCAUCCAUGCCCAAUCGUACUCAUAUCUGCCUCCUUGGAUUUUUCAAUGUCC